rnacentral:lncRNA from 1 species
GAGAAAUGAUGAAGAAGCCGUUGUGGAUAGAGGUGGAACACGUUCUAUUCUCAAAACACAUUUUGAAAAAGAAGAUUUAGAAGGUCAUCGAACAUUAUUUAUUGGAGUUCAUGUGCCGCUUGGUGGAAGAAAGAGCCAUCGUCGUCACAGGCAUCGAGGCCAUAAGCACAGAAAGCGGGACAGAGAGAGAGAUUCAGGACUAGAGGAUGGAGGAGAGUCACCUUCUUUUGAUACCCCAUCACAGAGGGUGCAGUUUAUUCUUGGAACUGAGGACGAUGAUGAGGAGCACAUUCCUCAUGACCUUUUCACAGAACUGGAUGAAAUUUGCUGGCGUGAAGGGGAAGAUGCCGAGUGGCGAGAAACAGCCAGGUGGUUAAAAUUUGAAGAAGAUGUGGAAGAUGGAGGAGAAAGAUGGAGUAAACCCUACGUGGCUACACUUUCGUUGCACAGCUUGUUUGAGUUGAGAAGCUGCAUUCUGAACGGAACUGUGCUACUGGACAUGCAUGCCAACACUUUAGAGGAGAUCGCAGGUGAUUUACUUGAUUUACUUUUUCUAUUACUGAAAGGUAUAAACCUGAACUUUGUAACCAGUUGAUACUGUUUUAAACUUUGAGUGUAGGAAGACUGUGCUAUGUCAUGUAAAUGGUGUGUCUCCAGCUGUAUUUGUUUUUUACAAAGCUCUUUUCCACAUUUAACUAAAUGCAUGUUGUGGAAAAAUAGCCUUUGAACUAAAACUUCAGAUUCUGUUAGAGACGGUUAUGUAAAUAUUUCAGUCCAUAUGAAACAGUCCAACUUUACUAAGCUUAUUGAAACAGGAAGGAAGUUAUGGAUUUUUGAGUAUUACUAAAUAUAAACUUCAUUUAAUUUUAGAUAAAUGUGAUUUAAUAAAAAAUGAAAUAUUAUAGGGCUCUUAGUUCCUACAAAUUGUCAAUAAUUGAUAAUUAUUAUAAUCUUUCAAUGUCCCAAUUUAGAAAAAUUCAGAGCCUUUUGGAUUUUAUAAAUUAUAUGUACUCCAUGUAAACGAACAUAAUUGGAAAAAUCCUCUUUGCUAUUAAGCUAACGAAGGUGAAAGACAACAAGCCAACGUAACCUUAAUAUUUUGAUAUCUUUUGAACAAAAAGUUUCCUCACAAUCCUUUCAGAAGCCAUUUUUAAUGAGAUAUAAGUCAAAAUUGUGAGAAGAAUUUGCAGUUAGUAAAGUCUGUAUUUAUAAAUGGUAAAGAAAAAUGCAAAACUGUCUGUUCCAAAUGUGCUACCUUUGUGUAUGUUGUAAUAGCGCAUUCCAUCUAAACAUCCUCACUGUCUGUGAUGUAGCAGGCCAAUCCCCAAAACACUCUCCUGGUGUCUCUAUAGCGUGAUGUCUGUUUUGUUGAAAUGACCAGUGAAUGAAACUGCAAUGAUCACUGGUUUAAAUAAGCAAUCAGCCUAUGAAAUUCUGUAUUUCUGAGUAUUUUUAUAGUAAUUUUGUUCUUGUGUGAAUUUUAAUGCUAUCUCUAUCUUAAUCUUAAUAUUUUGAAAUCAUAAAAUAUAAGAAAAUGUAGUAUUCUAUAUUUACUCCUAAUUUCAAAUUCCUGGUCAAAAUUACUGAAUAUCUUGAAUGUAAUUUAUUGCAAUGUUAAAGUACUGUGUAAAUGUGACUAGGAUAUUGUGUUUUUCAAAACUAAGAAAUGUUAUGUGCAAAUAAAUAUUUAUCCUACCUAAUUUUCAUGCUUAUUUU